UAAAAGGCACACUGGGAACUAAAUUGACUGCAGGUGGGUCCGCAAGGCGUGGGAGCUCACGAUCUAAACCGCGAAGAGAUCUUGGGGUCUUACACUACGCCAUUAGAGUGCGGCACUUCUCUGUCUGCCGCGGCUGCUGUAAGAGUCCUUGCCACCGCCGCUCUUGCCCAGGCCUCUACUGCGGCUUCCACCUCUGCGGGAUCACAGCAGCCCAGCCCAACCCCGUCCUGCGCUACUGCUGCCUUCGCCGCUGCCACCUCCUCAGCCUCGGCCUCCGCCACCACCCAAGCAUCCUUUUGAAUGGGGGCAACUGUUUGCUGAAGUGUGAUGUGUGAAGAGGUGGAAAGAAAUGAACUCAAGCAUCUCAGAAGUUUCAAUUCAGUGUUGGAGUUCUAGCAUCGACAAUCAGACAACAAGAGGAAAUCAAAGACAUCAAAAUUGACAAAGAUGAAGUCAAGCUUUCACUUUUUGCAGAUGAUAUGGUAUUAUACAUGGAAAACCCAAUAGACUCCAACAAAAAUCUACUAGAACCACUAGAUGAAUUCAGCAAAGUCACAGGAUAUAAAAUCAAUGUACAUAAAUCAGUUGCCAUUCUUAUACACUAAUAAUGAAGCAACAGAAAGAAAAAUA